rnacentral:lncRNA from 1 species
CAAAGAUAAACACUUCAGAUGGAAGUUGCUUGGAUUUAGAGUUCAUUCAGUGAAGUCUUGCAUCUAGCUACCACAGCUUCAAGUACCAAAAAAAAAAAAGGAGAAUAUAUAUAAUUAAUAAAUUUAUUAAUCAUGAAAUUAUAAACAAGUCAAUGUCCCACAAAUAUAGGAAAGGUACAAAUAAAUUGAUUUGAUCAAUUAUGAGGAGAAGCAGAGCAAGUGGUGUAUUAAUCUAAACAAUUUUCUUGUAAUAUAGUCUUAUUAUAAGAAUCUAAUUCAAUUUAUUCUAUAUCUAAAGGAAA